rnacentral:tRNA from 1 species
GCUGGUGUAGCUCAGCUGGUAGAGCAGCUGAUUCGUAAUCAGCAGGUCAGGAGUUCAAGUCUCCUCACCAGCUC